CUUUGACGUUAGCGGCGGACGGGUGAGUAACACGUGGGUAACCUACCUAUAAGACUGGGAUAACUUCGGGAAACCGGAGCUAAUACCGGAUAACAUUUGGAACCGCAUGGUUCUAAAGUGAAAGAUGGUUUUGCUAUCACUUAUAGAUGGACCCGCGCCGUAUUAGCUAGUUGGUAAGGUAACUGGCUUACCAAGGCGACGAUACUGUAGCCGACCUGAGAGGGUGAUCGGCCACACUGGAACUGAGACACGGUCCAGACUCCUACGGGAGGCAGCAGUAGGGAAUCUUCCGCAAUGGGCGAAAGCCUGACGGAGCAACGCCGCGUGAGUGAUGAAGGGUUUCGGCUCGUAAAACUCUGUUAUUAGGGAAGAACAAACGUGUAAGUAACUGUGCACGUCUUGACGGUACCUAAUCAGAAAGCCACGGCUAACUACGUGCCAGCAGCCGCGGUAAUACGUAGGUGGCAAGCGUUAUCCGGAAUUAUUGGGCGUAAAGCGCGCGUAGGCGGUUUCUUAAGUCUGAUGUGAAAGCCCACGGCUCAACCGUGGAGGGUCAUUGGAAACUGGGAAACUUGAGUGCAGAAGAGGAAAGUGGAAUUCCAUGUGUAGCGGUGAAAUGCGCAGAGAUAUGGAGGAACACCAGUGGCGAAGGCGACUUUCUGGUCUGUAACUGACGCUGAUGUGCGAAAGCGUGGGGAUCAAACAGGAUUAGAUACCCUGGUAGUCCACGCCGUAAACGAUGAGUGCUAAGUGUUAGGGGGUUUCCGCCCCUUAGUGCUGCAGCUAACGCAUUAAGCACUCCGCCUGGGGAGUACGACCGCAAGGUUGAAACUCAAAGGAAUUGACGGGGACCCGCACAAGCGGUGGAGCAUGUGGUUUAAUUCGAAGCAACGCGAAGAACCUUACCAAAUCUUGACAUCCUUUGAAAACUCUAGAGAUAGAGCCUUCCCCUUCGGGGGACAAAGUGACAGGUGGUGCAUGGUUGUCGUCAGCUCGUGUCGUGAGAUGUUGGGUUAAGUCCCGCAACGAGCGCAACCCUUAAGCUUAGUUGCCAUCAUUAAGUUGGGCACUCUAGGUUGACUGCCGGUGACAAACCGGAGGAAGGUGGGGAUGACGUCAAAUCAUCAUGCCCCUUAUGAUUUGGGCUACACACGUGCUACAAUGGACAAUACAAAGGGCAGCUAAACCGCGAGGUCAUGCAAAUCCCAUAAAGUUGUUCUCAGUUCGGAUUGUAGUCUGCAACUCGACUACAUGAAGCUGGAAUCGCUAG
rnacentral:rRNA from 1 species